AUUGAACGCUGGCGGCAGGCUUAACACAUGCAAGUCGAACGAGUGGCGGACGGGAGAGUAAUGCUUGGGAAUCUGGCUUAUGGAGGGGGAUAACGACGGGAAACUGUCGCUAAUACCGCGUAGCAUAGGCUGAGCCCAAGUGGGAUUAGUAAGUGGGUGGGGUAAGGGCAUACCAAGACGACGAUCGCUAGCUGGUAUGAGAGGAUGACCAGCAAAACCGGGACUGAGACACGGCCCGGAUUCCUACGAGAGGCAGCAGUGGGGAAUAUUGCGCAAUGGGGGCAAUCUGACACAGCCAUGCCGCGGGAAUGAAGGAGGUCUUCGGGUUGUAAAGUUCUUUCUGUGAGGAGGCGUUAAUUACAGAAGAAGCACCGGCUAACUCCGUGCCAGCAGCCGCGGUAAUAC
rnacentral:rRNA from 1 species